GCCGGGGUGGCGGAACUGGUAGACGCGCCGGAUUCAAAAUCCGGUUCCUUCACGGGAGUGUCGGUUCGAGCCCGACCCUCGGUACCA
rnacentral:tRNA from 1 species